UGGGGAAUAUUGCACAAUGGGCGCAAGCCUGAUGCAGCCAUGCCGCGUGUAUGAAGAAGGCCUUCGGGUUGUAAAGUACUUUCAGCGGGGAGGAAGGGAGUAAAGUUAAUACCUUUGCUCAUUGACGUUACCCGCAGAAGAAGCACCGGCUAACUCCGUGCCAGCAGCCGCGGUAAUACGGAGGGUGCAAGCGUUAAUCGGAAUUACUGGGCGUAAAGCGCACGCAGGCGGUUUGUUAAGUCAGAUGUGAAAUCCCCGGGCUCAACCUGGGAACUGCAUCUGAUACUGGCAAGCUUGAGUCUCGUAGAGGGGGGUAGAAUUCCAGGUGUAGCGGUGAAAUGCGUAGAGGUCUGGAGGAAUACCGGUGGCGAAGGCGGCCCCCUGGACAAAGACUGACGCUCAGGUGCGAAAGCGUGGGGAGCAAACAGG
rnacentral:rRNA from 1 species